CCAGGCUGCCCCUCCCUGCCCUCUCUGGGUCAAGGGGUCAGCUACAAUGUUUGGGAUACUUCUACGGAUUAGUUUCACGGGGUGGCCUUUAUGGUUGCUGGGCAGCUUCCACCAGGCUCCUGUGGGUGCUGGGUGGUGGCCUCUUCCUGGCCACAGGUGCACUCAUAUCCUGAGUCCUUGUCUCUCCAAGGCCUGUCCCCACCUCCCAGGGAAGGUUUCUCACAGGAGGACAUGGUGACACCUGUCGAGAGGGCAGCCCUCCUGGCUCACUGGGCCCCCCUCCCUGGCUCGGCAUGGACCCGGGUGACCUGUGUCCGCUGCCUGGGGCAUGAGGCAGCACAGCACACAGCUGACCCACCCAAGAGCUUCUGGUGGGCAGGGCUGGGCAGCAUGAGGAGCUGCUUCCUGGCAGAGGCUGGCCUGCCUGGGGGGGCAGCGUGGCCGGCAGCACUGUCUCUCUCCUUAGUGUCAUUCCUGGCCACAACUGGCCUCACAUCUGAGUCCCUCAGAGACACCAGGAUGCUCUGGCCAGAGGACGAUGGCCCCAGCACACCAGGCAUGGGCUGAGGCUCACAUGGGCAGGGGGCCAAGGAGGCCAGGGCUCCCUGUGCACCUGCAGGGCAGGAGGCUCAGAGGGGAGGGGGCAAGCCUGCUCUGGGGACCAGGGGACAGCGCAGCGGAGGCAAGGGGAGAGGGCAGUCCCCAGGGAAACAGCGACACCCAGUGGCCACACUGUGCAUUCAUGCCCCUCCCUCAGAACAGUGUCCUGGCUCUUCAGAAGAAGGGUGUGGGGGGUGUCAGGUACGGGAGGGACCUCAGAAAGGGCCAGGCAGAUCAGCCCCUGCCCUGUCCCUGCUGUGCCCUGGGAACGAGACCCGACAGUCCCUCUCUGAGUGUGCUGCCCGGCCACCAGCUGGACAUGACCCUCUGGCUCAAGGAAUUCUGAGCCUGGUGGCAGUGAGCUGUAGGCAGAAGGACGGGAGAGGCAUUAGGAAGGUGCGGCCCUUGUGCGGAGCACAGGUGGGUGCCAGGCCCAGAGGGUCCUGUGGUCAUAUGGCUGUCACUCCUGGGGUGAAGCUGCCUCUGGAGUCGGUGGACACAGAGCAGGACGUGUAGUCAGGAGGCCAGGCCCUGAUGGGGAAGUCUGCACUUAGCCAGGAGGACAGAGGGGCUCCGGGCAUUCAGGGUGCUUUCAGGGGCUCGUGUUUCCACCUGACCCAGAGUCCAGGUUGACUCGGGGGCUGGACUGCCUUCAGGUCCUGGUGCCUCCCCGGCCUGGCCUUGCUGCCUCAUCCCCACAGCCAGCCCCGAUGCUCCCAGAGCCCCGACCUUGUUCCCUGUGCUCACUCUCCUUCAGGAGCACGGAGAGGCCUUCCAGCAGGGUCCACGCUCAGGCACCUGGCUGCCUGCCCGGCUGCUGGUGCCCACUGCCCUGCUGCACAUGACUGGGCAGCCUCUAGCUGCUGGCUGUCCCUGUUGUGAGCUCCUCUGCGGCACUGGGACCAGAACAUGGUGCCGCCCAGCAGGGCUGCUUCUCGGUGUCUUGAUGUCCCCAGGGCCCGGCCUUGGCCAGCCCCUCCACUUCUCUCCUGUGGGAGGGACAAGGGUUCGGUGGAGCCUGGGUGGAGCCUGGGAUCCGCAGGGUGAGCCCACGUGCUGGGGCCGGGUGGGGAGGCCCUCCCAACUCAGCUUGUCUCCAGGGAAAUGUGAGGACGGAGGCAGCCGUCCACCCUGGGGCCUGUCCACCUUCUGGGCGUGGCGCACCCCAGCUUCCCGUGUCUCCUGUUAGACCCUGGCUGUCUCCCACCUUCACUGCUCCCCACCCCAGGGCCUUACCUGUGCACGUUUGCUGAAGAAUUUCAAGAAAACCCCUUACGUCAUGCUAUUUCACCCAGAUAUUCCAAUGUGCAUCUAAAAAUAUGGACAUUUUCUUCCAAAUCCCCAGUGUUAUUAAAAUGCUUAAUGAAACUAAAAAUAGUUCCUUAAUAUCAACUAAGAAAUACGAGUAGAUCAACUCAAAUCACUUAACGACUUUCAAAAGUUAUUGGGAGACAUAAAUUGGAUAAGGCCU
rnacentral:lncRNA from 1 species